UUUUUUUUUACUUGUAAACUGAAUAUAUAUAUAUAUUCUAGAAACCAAGAGACAAAGAUAGAUGUCCAUGAUGGCAUUUUACAGUCACUUUUCAGAAAGCACCUGCACUUGAAGAUGGUUGUUCUCCAAGUUGAUUUCCCAGAGGCCUCCAGCCCCUACAGGGUCCCCUUGUUUCAAGUUCAACACAAGCCUGGGUAUUAUUGAAGCAUUGUGGCGUAACUAUGGGUUUUGAUUUGAAGACUAGAUUUUUAAAGAGGACAUUGAAACGAGCAAUUUAGAAAAGUAUGCAAGCAAAGAUGUGUGUGCAGGAUUAUGAACAAACAGGAAAAUGAAGGUGAAGACAACUGAGUUAGCUGCAGAAGCCAAUAUUUUAAGUUUUUUAUGUUAACCUGGCUGACAUAGUCAAUUUCAUUUAAUUUUUUUUUAAAUAUUGCAUGUAACUAUUUUAGUUCAAAACAAUUUUAACAAAAACAAACCUGAUUUUAAAAAAAACUUGAAUGUUUA